rnacentral:rRNA from 1 species
UACGGAGGAUCCAAGCGUUAUCCGGAUUCAUUGGGUUUAAAGGGUGCGUAGGCGGAAUUGUAAGUCAGUGGUGAAAGCCCUCAGCUUAACUGAGGAACUGCCAUUGAUACUGCAAAUCUUGAGUACAUUUGAUGUGGGCGGAAUGUGUCAUGUAGCGGUGAAAUGCUUAGAUAUGACACAGAAACACCGAUUGCGAAGGCAGCUUACUAUGGUCAUAUUGACGCUGAGGCACGAAAGCGUGGGGGAUCAAACAGG